GAUGAACGCUGGCGGCGUGCUUAACACAUGCAAGUCGAACGAUGAAGCCCAGCUUGCUGGGUGUGUUCGUGUCGAACGGGUGUGUAACACGUGAGUAACCUGCCCUUAACUCUGUGAUAUGCCUGGGAAACUGUGUCUAAUACCGGAUAGGAGCGUCCACCGCAUGGUGGGUGUUUGAAAGAUUUAUCGGUUUUGGAUGGACUCGCGGCCUAUCAGCUUGUUGGUGUGGUAAUGGCUCACCAAGGCGCCGACGGGUAGCCGGCCUGAGAGGGUGACCGGCCACACUGGGACUGAGACACGGCCCAGACUCCUACGGGAGGCAGCAGUGGGGAAUAUUGCACAAUGGGCGCAAGCCUGAUGCAGCGACGCCGCGUGAGGGAUGACGGCCUUCGGGUUGUAAACCUCUUUCAGUAGGGAAGAAGCGAAAGUGACGGUACUGGCAGAAGAAGCACCGGCUAACUACGUG
rnacentral:rRNA from 1 species